UACGGAGGUGGCAAGCGUUGUCCGGAUUUAUUGGUUUGAAAGGGUGCGUAGGCGGCUUAUUAAGUCAGGGGUGAAAGACUAUUGCUUAACAAUGGCAGUGCCUUUGGAUACUUGAUAGGCUUGAGUACAGCUGAGGCAGAUGGAACGGGUGGUGUAGCGGUGAAAUGCAUAGAUACCAUCAGAACACCGAUUGCGAAGGCAGUCUGCUAAACUGUAACUGACGCUGA
rnacentral:rRNA from 1 species